CAGGCAUGCUGGAGCCCCGCAGCGGCGCCUGGGUCAAGUGGCUGGCACCUUCAAGAGGAUGCGCCCUUGCCGCCCGACACCGUAAACGCAACCGGGGCUUAU
rfam:Rhizobium sp. Leaf453 contig_5, whole genome shotgun sequence.